rnacentral:rRNA from 1 species
AGAAUCAACGCUGGCGGCGUGCCUAACACAUGCAAGUCGAACGAGAAAGUGGAGCAAUCCAUGAGUAAAGUGGCGCACGGGUGAGUAACACGUGACUAACCUACCCUGGAGUGGGGGAUAACUGAGGGAAACCUUAGCGUAAUACCGCAUAACACCUACGGGUCAAAGGAGCAAUUCGCUUUAGGAGGGGGUCGCGGCAGAUUAGUUAGUUGGCGGGUAAUGGCCCACAAGACGGUGAUCUGUA